rnacentral:rRNA from 1 species
GUCCCACGCCCUAAACGAUGUCAACUAGGUGUUGGAAGUGUUAAACCUUUAGUACCGCAGCUAACGCGUGAAGUUGACCGCCUGGGGAGUACGGCCGCAAGGUUAAAACUCAAAGGAAUUGACGGGACCCGCACAAGCGGUGGAUGAUGUGGAUUAAUUCGAUGCAACGCGAAAACCUUACCUACCCUUGACAUGCCAGGAACUUUCCAGAGAUGGAUUGGUGCCCGAAAGGGAGCCUGGACACAGGUGCUGCAUGGCUGUCGU